AAUAAAAACUUUGAUGCCUAUGCGAAAAAGCAAUCUAUAAACGCAUGGAUACUUAUAUUAACGCCGUAAUUUCGUUGAAAAAAUCUACUUGAAAAUUUGAAAUAAUUCUUCGCGCGUUUUGCGGCAAAAAUAGUUUACCGUUUCACCAUCGAUGACAGCACCGUUCGAUUUGGCUCCUGGCGGGAGCGAAAUAAUCUAUUCCUAAACUCUGUUGAUGUAUCUUUGCACGCGAAAUCAAUUACAAGACCCCGAGUCGUUAAAAAAAAUUAUUCACAGAACUGUAAACUAAAAAAGAUAAAUCCUAGCUGUCGAGGAUAUAUUUAUCUUAUUAUUUACCAUCCGGCAUACAUAUUUAUGAGAAAUAUUGUAUACGCGUUUAAAUCUUUUUCCGGAUCCGCGGCGUCGAAGAAAAUAUUUUCUUUGAAGUUUGGUUUGGCCAAAAUCAAUUCUAUACCGAUAUGAAUCUGCAAAUAGUAUUUAUAACAGAGACAAACAAUUCAAAGAAACGCUCCUGACGGCAUAUAAUAAAGAAAUGUGGUCGACUGUCUUAUAAUGUGGUCGUCCCGCACGUGACAACAAUUCUAGAACAGGAUGGAUGCACACACGCAAAAAAUACUAAUAGUAUUGAACAUGUAUUGAGAUAAAAAAAAAAAAAUAAUGCGGUUGCAGACAUUUCAACAUUCACAUAUCGAGGUGAAUACGUAGAUACGGGUGUAAUAAUAUUCAUAGACAUAUGAAUGGUUCUGUCAUCAUGUGUGCUUUCGUCUAAUAACACAAUUAAAAACUUUCAGAUCUAUAUAUGUAGGUUUUUGAACUUACAGUAAUGGUUCUACUUGCGAACUCACCAUAUCAAUUUAUGCAUAAUCUAUAAGAUACGUAAACUGAUUAAUGAAGCAGAUGCGAAACCCUGCGUCUAAUUAAACUCCAUACACUAAAUAUCGUAUAAUAUCGACGAAUUGUGAGUAAUCGUACGUAUAAAACAUCGCGUAUAUCGAAUUUAUGAUACAAUAUUAUCGUUGGUAUUAUAAUAAUGAUUCAUUGCAGUCGGAGAAAUGAGUUCACAGCUUACGUGGCGCGAGCUAAAAUUCCGAACUACUAUUGCUUUUAUAUACUAUACAUGCUGCAAGGUGUUUCGGCCGAUCUUUUCCCCCGCGCUGUUAUAAUACGUAUAACAUUACAAACGAGGGUCUUGUAUUCGGUGUAUAAACUACGUGCGCAAGUGGAAAUAUAUUUACGAUAAUAUUACCGUUAAGUCCCCCCUUCUCCCCGCCACUAAAUUCACCAUCGCAUCGGUUACUUUCAUUUUAACCAACGACGCAUAGCAAAAAUAAAUAAAUAAAACAUUUCAUCCGAAAGAUAACUAACUAAAUUAACUAAAAUCUGCAGAGUAAAAAUUCAUUUGUACUUUCUAUUUUUGUCAUAAACUCUAAAACAUUCGUUUAAAUUCGUUUGCAAUUUUUAUCAUAUGAAAUGUAUGGAGCAGAGAGAAAAAAGUGGGGGAAGAGAGAGAUAAAGAAGGGGGGGAUAUUUUAUCUGUAAUAGUUGUGCAUGUAUAAAUUGAAAGACACGCCUGUAUACUUAUGUAAUAUUUAUAUUAUAGUAUUUGAUUUUUUUUUUUCGUUAACAAUGACGCCAUUUUUUGAAUAAAUAAUAAUGAUUAUUUUUUUAUUUUAUUAUUUUUUGUUUUAAAGCGUUCAAGUAAAGCCUACUAUUUGCUUCGCAUCACAAUAAUAAUUUCUAAUAAUAUGUCCUCUACACAUCGAUACAAACCCCCCAGCUAGUAAUAUUUGUUUAUGUUAUAUACGACGAGUUUUACAUAAUUAAUACUUUAUAAAGUUUCUUUUUUUUUUACAAAGGGGACAAUUCAACAAUUAUUACAUUAUUUUUGUAUUCUUUCUUCUUUUCACCUCUGAUCAUUUGAUAGUACAAUAGUGAUCGAUGGAAAAUAGAAAUUUAUCAUCAUACAUUGAUAUGGUAUUAAAUCUACAUGCCAUGUAUGCUUAUAAUUCACCAAAGGGAUCUCUAUGCGUUUUUGAAUGAAGAUAGGCAACAUAUAUGAGCAGACUAUACUGCGAAUUUUCGAAAAUUUGUCAUUAAUGAUCACAUUUAUAUAAUUUUUGUUUUUUUUAAACACCUAGAACCAAAUAAGUAUAUAACAAUUUCAUGUAUCAACGGGCAACGAUUUCAUUUGGAAAACAGCAACAAACUAAUAAUAGCAACACUUAAUUUUA